UGGGGAAUUUUGGACAAUGGGGGCAACCCUGAUCCAGCCAUUCCGCGUGAGUGAAGAAGGCCUUCGGGUUGUAAAGCUCUUUCAGCAGGAACGAAACGGUACGUUCUAACAUAGCGUGCUAAUGACGGUACCUGCAGAAGAAGCACCGGCUAACUACGUGCCAGCAGCCGCGGUAAUACGUAGGGUGCGAGCGUUAAUCGGAAUUACUGGGCGUAAAGCGUGCGCAGGCGGAUUGUUAAGCAAGAUGUGAAAUCCCCGGGCUUAACCUGGGAAUGGCAUUUUGAACUGGCAGUCUAGAGUGUGUCAGAGGGGGGUGGAAUUCCACGUGUAGCAGUGAAAUGCGUAGAGAUGUGGAGGAACACCGAUGGCGAAGGCAGCCCCCUGGGAUAACACUGACGCUCAUGUACGAAAGCGUGGGUAGCAAACAGGAUUAGAUACCCUGGUAGUCCUCGCCCUAAACGAUGUCAACUGGUUGUUGGGGGAGUGAAAU
rnacentral:rRNA from 1 species